rnacentral:rRNA from 1 species
AACGUAGGGGGCUAGCGUUGUCCGGAAUUACUGGGCGUAAAGGGCACGCAGGCGGUCUGUAAAGCGGUGGGUGCAAUCUCGAGGCUCAACCUCGAAACUGCUUGCCGAACUGGCAGACUAGAGCACGGGAGAGGACAGUGGAAUUCCCGGUGUAGCGGUGGAAUGCGUAGAUAUCGGGAGGAACACCAGUGGCGAAGGCGGCUUCCUGGCACAAUACUGACGCUCAUGUGCGAAAGCUAGGGCAGCGAACGGGAUUAGAUACCCCCGUA